GGCCUUUUGAAUUUAAUUUAAGGUCUGACCUGCCCAGUGAUGAAUUUAACGGCCGCGGUAUACUGACCGUGCAAAGGUAGCAUAAUCAUUAGUCUUUUAAUAGGGGGCUGGAAUGAAAGGUUUCACGAGGAACUGACUGUCUCAUUUUAUUUGUUUUAAAAUUUAAUUUUUUGGUUAAAAAGCUAAAAUUUUAUUGGUAGACGAGAAGACCCUAUAGAGCUUUACAUAUAAUUGAUUAGAUAUUUUUAUAUUAAUAUUUCUAAUUAUUUUUGUGUUUUGUUGGGGUGACAAAAAUAUAUAAUUAACUUUUUUAUUUAAAUUACAUUGAUUUAUGAAUAUUAGAUCCAUUCUUGUUGAUUAUUAGACUAAGUUACCUUAGGGAUAACAGCGUAAUCCUCCUCCAGAGUUCAUAUUUACAGGAUGGGCUUGCGACCUCGAUGUUGGAUUAAGAUAAUAAUUAGGUGUAGUCGCUUAAUUGAUAGGUCUGUUCGACCUUUAAAUUCUU
rnacentral:rRNA from 1 species